UUUAAAGAGAGUUUGAUCCUGGCUCAGGACGAACGCUGGCGGCGUGCCUAAUACAUGCAAGUCGAACGAACGGAGGAAGAGCUUGCUCUUCCAAAGUUAGUGGCGGACGGGUGAGUAACACGUGGGCAACCUGCCUGUAAG
rnacentral:rRNA from 2 species